UGUCCGGAUUUACUGGGUGUAAAGGGCGUGCAGCCGGGUCUGCAAGUCAGAUGUGAAAUCCAUGGGCUCAACCCAUGAACUGCAUUUGAAACUGUAGAUCUUGAGUGUCGGAGGGGCAAUCGGAAUUCCUAGUGUAGCGGUGAAAUGCGUAGAUAUUAGGAGGAACACCAGUGGCGAAGGCGGAUUGCUGGACGAUAACUGACGGUGAGGCGCGAAAGUGUGGGGAGCAAACAGGAUUAGAUACCCCGGUAGUCCACACUGUAAACGAUGAAUACUAGGUGUGCGGGGACCGACCCCCUGCGUGCCGCAGUAAACACAAUAAGUAUUCCACCUGGGGAGUACAAUCGCAUGGUUGAAACUCAAAGGAAUCGACGGGGGCCCGUCACAAG
rnacentral:rRNA from 1 species